UACGGGGGGGGUAAGCGUUGUUCGGAAUUACUGGGCGUAAAGGGCUCGUAGGCGGCCAACUAAGUCGGACGUGAAAUCCCUCAGCUUAACUGGGGAACUGCGUCUGAUACUGGAUGGCUUGAGAUUGGGAGAGGGAUGCGGAAUUCCAGGUGUAGCGGUGAAAUGCGUAGAUAUCUGGAGGAACACCGGUGGCGAAGGCGGCAUCCUGGACCAACACUGACGCUGAGGAGCGAAAGCCAGGGGAGCAAACGGG
rnacentral:rRNA from 1 species